UUUCUAGUAUAUAAAGUAAACAAACUGGAAUGUCUAUAGGAAACAUUUAAAAUUGCAAAAAUAUGUGUGUUUAGAAGCAGUUUCGUAGGGGAAAAAAGUCCCCUACGAAACAGUACACAAAUUAUGAAAAUAAUAUCAUUUUAAAGAGUAUUUAAGAUUGCACUUUUUGUUUACAAACAGGUCUAUAAUAGAGGUUUUCAAAAUAACUCUUGAAAAUAAAUUUUAGACUAGUUGAUUUUCCAUUUUUUUUUAGGUCUGAAAGGAACGCUUUUAUUGAAAAACGCCC
rnacentral:lncRNA from 1 species